GGGUUGUGAGGUUAAGCGACUAAGCGUACACGGUGGAUGCCCUGGCAGUCAGAGGCGAUGAAGGACGUGCUAAUCUGCGAUAAGCGUCGGUAAGGUGAUAUGAACCGUUAUAACCGGCGAUUUCCGAAUGGGGAAACCCAGUGUGUUUCGACACACUAUCAUUAACUGAAUCCAUAGGUUAAUGAGGCGAACCGGGGGAACUGAAACAUCUAAGUACCCCGAGGAAAAGAAAUCAACCGAGAUUCCCCCAGUAGCGGCGAGCGAACGGGGAGCAGCCCAGAGCCUGAAUCAGUAUGUGUGUUAGUGGAAGCGUCUGGAAAGGCGCGCGAUACAGGGUGACAGCCCCGUACACAAAAAUGCACAUGCUGUGAGCUCGAUGAGUAGGGCGGGACACGUGGUAUCCUGUCUGAAUAUGGGGGGACCAUCCUCCAAGGCUAAAUACUCCUGACUGACCGAUAGUGAACCAGUACCGUGAGGGAAAGGCGAAAAGAACCCCGGCGAGGGGAGUGAAAAAGAACCUGAAACCGUGUACGUACAAGCAGUGGGAGCACGCUUAGGCGUGUGACUGCGUACCUUUUGUAUAAUGGGUCAGCGACUUAUAUUCUGUAGCAAGGUUAACCGAAUAGGGGAGCCGAAGGGAAACCGAGUCUUAACUGGGCGUUAAGUUGCAGGGUAUAGACCCGAAACCCGGUGAUCUAGCCAUGGGCAGGUUGAAGGUUGGGUAACACUAACUGGAGGACCGAACCGACUAAUGUUGAAAAAUUAGCGGAUGACUUGUGGCUGGGGGUGAAAGGCCAAUCAAACCGGGAGAUAGCUGGUUCUCCCCGAAAGCUAUUUAGGUAGCGCCUCGUGAAUUCAUCUCCGGGGGUAGAGCACUGUUUCGGCAAGGGGGUCAUCCCGACUUACCAACCCGAUGCAAACUGCGAAUACCGGAGAAUGUUAUCACGGGAGACACACGGCGGGUGCUAACGUCCGUCGUGAAGAGGGAAACAACCCAGACCGCCAGCUAAGGUCCCAAAGUCAUGGUUAAGUGGGAAACGAUGUGGGAAGGCCCAGACAGCCAGGAUGUUGGCUUAGAAGCAGCCAUCAUUUAAAGAAAGCGUAAUAGCUCACUGGUCGAGUCGGCCUGCGCGGAAGAUGUAACGGGGCUAAACCAUGCACCGAAGCUGCGGCAGCGACGCUUAUGCGUUGUUGGGUAGGGGAGCGUUCUGUAAGCCUGUGAAGGUGUGCUGUGAGGCAUGCUGGAGGUAUCAGAAGUGCGAAUGCUGACAUAAGUAACGAUAAAGCGGGUGAAAAGCCCGCUCGCCGGAAGACCAAGGGUUCCUGUCCAACGUUAAUCGGGGCAGGGUGAGUCGACCCCUAAGGCGAGGCCGAAAGGCGUAGUCGAUGGGAAACAGGUUAAUAUUCCUGUACUUGGUGUUACUGCGAAGGGGGGACGGAGAAGGCUAUGUUGGCCGGGCGACGGUUGUCCCGGUUUAAGCGUGUAGGCUGGU
rnacentral:rRNA from 1 species